rnacentral:rRNA from 2 species
CGGUGUGCCUAAUACAUGCAAGUCGAACGCGUUGGCCCAAUUGAUUGAUGGUGCUUGCACCUGAUUGAUUUUGGUCGCCAACGAGUGGCGGACGGGUGAGUAACACGUAGGUAACCUGCCCAGAAGCGGGGGACAACAUUUGGAAACAGAUGCUAAUACCGCAUAACARCGUUGUUCGCAUGAACAACGCUUAAAAGAUGGCUUCUCGCUAUCACUUCUGGAUGGACCUGCGGUGCAUUAGCUUGUUGGUGGGGUAACGGCCUACCAAGGCGAUGAUGCAUAGCCGAGUUGAGAGACUGAUCGGCCACAAUGGGACUGAGACACGGCCCAUACUCCUACGGGAGGCAGCAGUAGGGAAUCUUCCACAAUGGGCGCAAGCCUGAUGGAGCAACACCGCGUGAGUGAAGAAGGGUUUCGGCUCGUAAAGCUCUGUUGUUAAAGAAGAACACGUAUGAGAGUAACUGUUCAUACGUUGACGGUAUUUAACCAGAAAGUCACGGCUAACUACGUGCCAGCAGCCGCGGUAAUACGUAGGUGGCAAGCGUUAUCCGGAUU